UUGAACGCUGGCGGCAUGCCUUACACAUGCAAGUCGAACGGCAGCACGGGUGCUUGCACCUGGUGGCGAGUGGCGAACGGGUGAGUAAUACAUCGGAACAUGUCCUGUAGUGGGGGAUAGCCCGGCGAAAGCCGGAUUAAUACCGCAUACGAUCUACGGAUGAAAGCGGGGGACCUUCGGGCCUCGCGCUAUAGGGUUGGCCGAUAGCUGAUUAGCUAGUUGGUGGGGUAAAGGCCUACCAAGGCGACGAUCAGUAGCUGGUCUGAGAGGACGACCAGCCACACUGGGACUGAGACACGGCCCAGACUCCUACGGGAGGCAGCAGUGGGGAAUUUUGGACAAAGGGCGAAAGCCUGAUCCAGCAAUGCCGCGUGUGUGAAGAAGGCCUUCGGGUUGUAAAGCACUUUUGUCCGGAAAGAAAUCCUUGGCUCUAAUACAGUCGGGGGAUGACGGUACCGGAAGAAUAAGCACCGGCUAACUACGUG
rnacentral:rRNA from 1 species